UACGGAGGGUGCAAGCGUUAUCCGGAAUCAUUGGGUUUAAAGGGUGCGUAGGCGGCUAGAUCAGUCAGAGGUGAAAUCCCGCAGCUUAACUGCGGCACUGCCUUUGAUACUGUCUGGCUUGAAUUGGGUUGAGGUAAGCGGAAUGUGGCAUGUAGCGGUGAAAUGCAUAGAUAUGCCAUAGAACACCGAUUGCGAAGGCAGCUUACUGGACCUUGAUUGACGCUGAGGCACGAAAGCGUGGGGAGCGAACAGG
rnacentral:rRNA from 1 species